UGGCCGCACACAAACUUGCCUGGCAAUGCCUGCUAUGCUCCCAAAGACCUCUCAGACCUCCAUCAGUGCCAACUUCCCAGCCUGCCUCAGCGGAAGGACUUCCGGGAGGACACGGUGGAGCUCAGAAGCAUCCUCACAGAAGAAUAUUCCCCAGUGGAACCCUGCGGCAGCAUUUCUGCCCAAACAACUGACUCCCGCUUGAGUCAGAAGAGGAGACAGAGACACAUUGGCCAUCUGAAGGCAGAGACCGAAGUUACAAGUCUACAGGCUAAAGAAUGGCAGCCGAGGAACAAAUCUCUCCCGGGGCCUCCAGAGACAGUGAACCCUGAGAUGCUUUGACUUCAUAAACUUCUUGCCUCUAGAAGAUGGGAAGCCCCCUGGGAAGGAGGCACGGGAAACAGGUCACCUGGCUGAAGAACUGUGUCAUAGACCGGAGGCACUGCUUUCGUCUCUGUUCCAGCUGCUUCUGCUUGUCCGUCCAGCUGUGCAUCACCUUCUUCUGGUACUGGUCAAUCCUAUCAAGCAUUGUGUACAAGCUCUGAAUCUCGUACCCUUUCCCAGUGUUGUGGAUGGUUUUCACUCGU
ensembl:antisense